CCGGAAGUGGGGUCCCGCGAAGACCCCCAACAGCUCCACGCUGAUGAGCAAACCGGUGUCGGUACCCACAGAGCCAGCUGAACUCACUGCUUUCUUGCCCACCCUGGAGUUUGAGGGUACGGUGAGAUGUGGAGAGGAAUUUGGCCAGAGAAGUAGAAGAUUUGGUUUGGAUCCUUGUUCUGGUCGGACAAAGCUGUGGGACCUUGAGCUACUCACUUUCCUUCUCUGGGCCUCAUGUAACAAAUAAAGAGGGAAGCUGAGGCUCAGAGAGGUAAGGCAACUCACCCAAGAGCACACAGCCAAGAAGUGGCAGAGUGGGAUUCAAAACCAGAACAAGAAACUAAGGCUUACCUAUGAUGACCCCAAUUUGGUCUGUCCCCAAAGUUCAAGCCGUUUCUGCCUCUUCCAUCCUGUCUGGACAGAGUGGGCAGCAAACAGAGUUUUCCAGAAAAUCAGAGCUUGUGAACUUGGCUGACUGCAUCGGAGUGGUGGUGUUCACACAUUCCUCUGUCUUCUGAAUUUCCUGGAAACCGGUUGUUGAGCAGAGCUGCGCUGUUCGGGACAGUAGCCUCCAGCCGCGUGUGGCUACGGGGCCCUUGGAACGCGGCUCGUCCGAGCCGAGAUGUGCUGUACACGUACAACAUACACCAGAUGUCAAAGACAGAGCAUGAAAGAAGGAUGGAAACAAGUUCAUCGAUCGUUUUUUGUACUGAUUGUAUAUUGAGAUGAUAAU